rnacentral:sRNA from 1 species
GGCUCUGUGAAGCUGGUGACCCCGGAGGGGUCCCCAGUCCGGGGACUUCGCACACCUGAGAUCCCCAUGACCGAAGCGGUGGAGGCCGUGGCUAUGGUUGGAGGUCAGCUUCAGGCCUUCUGGAAGCAUGGAGUGCAGGUGUGGGCUCUAGGCUCGGAUCAGCUGCUACAGGAGCUGAGAGACCCUAGCCUCACUUUCCGUCUGCUUGGCUCCCCCAGGUUCAAGUGAUUCUCAUGCUUCAGCCUCCCAAGUAGCUGGGUUUACAGGCCUGUAGUGGUGGAGACACGCCCAGUGGAUGAUCCUACUGCUCCCAGCAACCUCUACAUCCAGGAAUGAGUCCCUAGGGGGGUGUCGGGAACUAGUCCUUGCACCCCCUCCCCCAUAGACACACUAGUGGUCAUGGCAUGUCCUCAGCUCCCAAUAAACGUGACUUUAGCCUCUGC